rnacentral:snRNA from 1 species
ACAGCCACUCGACCUCGCCAAGA